AUUGAACGCUGGCGGCAUGCUUUACACAUGCAAGUCGAACGGUAACAGGCCGCAAGGUGCUGACGAGUGGCGAACGGGUGAGUAAUGCAUCGGAACGUGCCCAGUCGUGGGGGAUAACUACUCGAAAGAGUAGCUAAUACCGCAUACGAUCUAUGGAUGAAAGCGGGGGACCGUAAGGCCUCGCGCGAUUGGAGCGGCCGAUGUCAGAUUAGGUAGUUGGUGGGGUAAAGGCCCACCAAGCCAACGAUCUGUAGCUGGUCUGAGAGGACGACCAGCCACACUGGGACUGAGACACGGCCCAGACUCCUACGGGAGGCAGCAGUGGGGAAUUUUGGACAAUGGGCGCAAGCCUGAUCCAGCAAUGCCGCGUGCAGGAAGAAGGCCUUCGGGUUGUAAACUGCUUUUGUACGGAACGAAACGGCUCUGGUUAAUACCCGGGGCUAAUGACGGUACCGGAAGAAUAAGCACCGGCUAACUACGUG
rnacentral:rRNA from 1 species